GGUGUCCUUUAUUUCCCAGUAGCAUCUGACAACAGGGCAGGACACAGCAGGCUGAGUAUCCUUCGUUUUAGGAGAAUUGGUAGCUGUGGCUUCAGGUUUAGUGGGAGACCAACCUUGCAUAUGACUGAGUUAACUCCCCUGCUAAGUGAUAUGGUGUCAGGCACCCAUGCUGCUAGACUGCCCCGCUCUUCUAGGGUUCAAGUGACUGUCUUUGUGCCUGGGCAUGUCUUCCUACAGCCUCAUGGUUGGAGCUAUGCUCACCUGUUCCUUUAUAAUAUUCCCCCUUGCCCUGUUUAGGAUAGAAUGUUCCAUGGAAGUGCCUUGUGUGUGUCCCCUUUUUUUUACUGUGCCCUUGGGUGUGGCCUACAUAGAAGUCAUUUAACCUGCUGACAGCGGACAUCAUAAAGAUAGACUUAGCCCCCUGAAACCAUACCCCUUGCCUCAUUUGAAUAGCUUCUCCUCAAUAAAAGGGGUCAGCGCAUUCUCUCUCUCUCUCUCUCUCUCUCUCUCUCUCUCUCUCUCUCUCUACCUGUGGACCCUUAAGAUCAGGGGAGCCAUCAGAGUGACCCUAAAGAAAAAGGUAUUCGUGUCUCUUGUGUGGUUAUUUUGUGCAGUCCAGUUAUCUCAAUUUAUCUGGAGUGACCUUUGUGCAGCCCAGUUAUCUCAAUUUACCUGGAGUAACCUCUGAGUCUUUUAGUCGAGAACAGAAACCCGGUAGGGUUUCGUUAAUACUAAAUGUGACAAGUUCUGUGUCAGACUCCAAUCCCCAGUUUCAUCUCAGUCCAGGAGGGUCCUGGAACCUUUUAGGCCUUGCAGUGUCCUGACUUUGUUGAUAGAUUCCAUUCAUUAAAAUUAGGCAGCAAAGACAAAUGCCUCCUCCCUACAGCCAGCUCCUCUCCCUGAGCAAAUACUCUGCCUCAAAGGUUGUGAAGACCACCAUGUCCACAGCCAAUUUCAAUACUUGGUUUCUCCCUGAAACCAAUAACUGGGCCCACAACAUAUGGUGAACAUACCCCUCUAGAUAAAGAAUGUGUUUAUUUAGGUUCAUGCAGAAGCAAAAGAAGAAAGAACAGGAUAGAUGAGAAAAUCCCAUAGUGGACUUUGAUCCUGAGCAGAGCCUAUUCCACUAGCAUGACUCUCCAUGUAAGCCCACUGCUGUACCCAUAAAGCACCCCCUUCUAGACUCUGAACUUCCUUGAGUUUUCAGUUUGAAUUUAGAAGUAGCUCUUUUACCAAAGUUUCCUUCCUUGUCGUUUUAGUCACCUUUUCCAUCACAGUGACCAAAAGACCUGAGAAGAACAACAUAUAGGAGGGAAAGUUUAUUUUGGAUCCCAGUAUCAGAGGUUCAGUCUGUGGUUGGCUGACCACAUAGCUCUGGGCUCAAGGUGAGGCAGAACAUCAUGGCCAAAGAGCAUGACAGAGGAAAGCAGCUUAGGACAUGGCAACAAAGAAGCAGAGAAGAAAGCUCCACUCACCAGGGACAAAAUGUAAACCCCAAAGACAUGCCCCCAGUGACCUCUGUCUUCCAGCAACACCAUACUUGCUUUUAGUGACCACCUAGUUAAUUCAUUUCACUCUGGUGGUUCUUGCAUUGUCUUAUACAUGAGCUUUUGGGGGAAACCUCAUGUCUAAACCAUGACACUUGUAUUUUCCAUAUUCCUCAUACCAUCUUUUAAAAUAUGUUUUGAAAAGCUGGUCCCAGCAAUUGAAUGAAAGAAGUGAUGGCUUCAAAGAAUGUUAUUUCCAAUAGAAUAUUACAAACCUCACUGUCU
rnacentral:lncRNA from 1 species